AAAGAAAAGAUUAGACACAGGCUUUUUCUUGUUCUGUAGGAAAUAGAAGUUAGAUACAAAUUAGCAUUUGAUCCCGACCAGAUGUUGCUUUAACCAAAAAUAUUUCGUCAUUGACAGAAAUUUGUUUAGCUGUGAUAGUGUGAUUGAAUUAUCUGAAAGUCGUCCGUCAAUUUGACAGAUUAAAUUGAGGCUGAUGUUUUGUAAUUUCACUGUAAUUCUCACUCCUGUCCACUUGGUGGCGAGUGCGGUCUUACUGACUAUCAAGUUAAUGGUCAACGAAAGACUUUUCUGAGUUAGGCUGUUUAAUGUCUUUCUGUGGUUGAAACACUGAUUGAUUAUGAGAGACAGACAUUAUACGGAUUUCGGUCAACAACAUAAUCCCUGAUGUUCAUUCAAGUUUAUUUCGUUCUGUAACGUUGUAAAUUGGACGGAAUUAAUCUUCACUACUCACGAUCGAUCCACUUCACUUGAACUGAGGCGAGCUGUGUUCUCUCGCACCACAUUAAAGAGCGCCAAAACGAUGUCUGAAAUAUCAUCUGGGGCGACCAUCAAGAAAAUACAAAUAAGGGACUUAUAUUCUGAUAAUCAUCUCAAAGAGGAUGUAGCAUCAGCCAGCCUCGUGGUGAGGGCGUCACAGAGACAACUAGCAGAUGGCCCCACUAACAAGUAAAGAAAAGACUGCUCGCUACAGGCAGUGGAAAAUGCUGUUCAAUGUGUCUGCAGAAUGCUGCUAUGUUCAACUGUUAAAUGAAAAUAGUAAUGAAAAGACAAACAUUGUAUGUUUAAGUUAAUGAAAUGAAAAUGAAAAGGAAAAAAGCUGUUCAAUGUUAUGUCCAAGCGUUUAAUGCAUUAGUAUUGAAAAUUUUAAUAUGAUGGUUAUGUGUAAAAUGAAAUAGUGAGGAAACUGUUUAUGAAAUGUGUCAAAUGAAAUGGAUAUGCUGAUUCUUCAUAAAAUUUCAUUAAAUAUGCUGAUUCUUCAUAAAAUUUCAUUAAAUGUGUUUUAACUAUCAAAUUCAU